UCUUUAUAUUGCUGAUUUGCUUUUUUUUAUAUUAUCUCGCAAUUCUAGUCGUAAGCUGCGCUCGAGUCGCUCAAAAGGUAAUCGAAGAUGCUGCAUGUCAUGCAUGCAAGAGCAUUGGCGGCUGGCUUUGAUGUGUGUGAAUGUUCGUGAGAAAAGUUACAUUGAAAUAUGAUGCCAUCGUGGUGAUAAAUCACGUCGCCACUGCACCUUUCCGCCGGACGCCUACAAAAGUCAACCGAUUACUGAUUAAAUAAUUAGGCAAACACAUACAUAUAAACAACAAGUAUCCCAGCAGCAAUAA